CUGCCCCCCCCCCCCCAACAAACAAAAAAGAGUAGGGCUCCUCUUCUUAAAUCGUUCACUUGAGUGGGUGGAUGAGGUGAAAGGGGGUGUGAUGGGUAUCCCUUGGCACUUGUAAGACUAAGCACCUUAAACUGAACUAAUGCACUUUAUUAUUACGUUUGAAUCAUUUUUUUUAUGAAUACAGAAUCGGUGUGUGUGGUGUGUGUGUGUGUGUUGAAUCUACAUGCAAUGCCGUAUGUAUACACGUGAAAAUCUGAACUGGAAGGGUGAGGUGAAUGGUUGGUGGGAUAGGCUCACUGGGAGGGGGAACUCAAAGGUAGAGGGGGCCUUUAUUUUGAAACCUUUCUUUAAAGACAAACACUGUUGUUUUUUUUUGUUUUUUUAAGACAAUACAUUUAUAUAAAAAGUAAAGCUAUUACAAAAAAAUGGAUACAAAGAAAACUUGAAGAUUUGCACUUGUGUUAAAAAAGAAAGAUAAAAUAAAAAAACAAAUGAGGUUAGGUAUAGAGAUGAAUAUUUUGUGUGUGUGUGAGGGCUGCUGUGUAUCAGAAACAUACUAGUCUGCACAAUGUAUAUAUUUUUUCCAUUGCUUACCAAGAUGUACGUCAUUUGGUUCAAAUUAGAUACAUUUUUUUCUUUUUCUUUCAUGAGUAGAACGUCUGUCCUCUUGUACAGAGGGACUUUCUUUGAAUACUUGUGUGUGAGACCGAGAGUGAGAGGGCAAUCCCACAACACAUCCUUCCUCUCACCAGCUCGUCAUCCCCAGAUAGACGUAGUGGAAACACAUACAUUUGUAGAGGAGGAUUAUGGCUUUAUGUUGUUGACCACCACUUGUUUGUUUUUUCCUGUGUGAUUUUGGAGUAUGGGCUAUACCCCUCCCCUGCAGUCUUCUCUCAGCCACGGUCUCUGAGCCUCUGUGAGGUUUCAAACAGACAGUGGUAAGGAUCUUUAGUGUGUGUGUACGCCUGUGUCUUUACUAAUCAUAGGAAAUAAGUGAUCCCUACAGGUACUUAUCUAUGUGUGUGUGUGUGUGUGUGUGUAUAUGCAUGCACAUUUUUGCCUUAGAACUCUGAAAGGGUGAAUGGGAGGGAAUGUUCAAUGACCAUUGAGACAUGAACUACUUUUGAGUGUACUGUGAUGUUAAGUUAAAGGAGAAUUGAACUAUUUUUAGGGACCUAAUCUUUAUUUUUCAUGUAAAUGGCAUGUUAUUAGAAAGGGUCCAGACGACAUAAUUUUUUGCAAUUUCAUUUGGUUUUGAGGAACUUACCCAGAAGCGAUUGACUUCCUGGGCCUCAUUCUGGAGUUCCAGGACAUCCCAAAACAUGAAAAACGGCAGAGCGUUUCUGUUUGUAAAAAUAUGUUUUUGGAGCCUUUUCAUGUUUUUUGGAUGCCCCGGAACUCCAGGCUCGAGAAGUCAAUCCCUGCCGGGGUACAUUUUUCAAAACCAAGUGAAAUUGCAAAAAGAAGGGUCUAAACCUUGUAUAACAUUCCACUUACAUCCAAAAUAAAGAUGAGGUUCUUAAUGAAAUUCUCUUAAGCGCUCUGCACAGUCAAUGUGCAUGUCAGUCAUGUAUCCUAAUAUUUCUAGUAUAGCCUGGGGAUGAAGAUGACUCUUCUUCUUUGUAAGGUUAGUCCGGUUUAGUUUUCCUGGGACGUGAUCACGUUGCCUUGUCGGCUUUCUUUAACUUGCGCGUGAAAGGUGUUGAGUUUCAGAUUCUGCUCAAAACGAUUGGCAUCAAACUGUCUGUGUACAGGACGGUGCACAACAUGUUAGCAUAUUCGUGUUACUUAUUGUUGUUGCUAUUGAUAAUGAUGGUGGUGACUUUUUUCUGAAUAUAAAUGAACAUUUAUAUAUGAAUAUAUACAAAGAAGAAAAAAAAAAGAUUUGGACUAAGAUUAUGAUAAGCACUUGGGGCUGCUUUUUUUUUUUCUUCAUUUGUUUUUGUUUCAUUACCGCCAUGUGAAGUGCGGUUUGUUAUUUCUUAAGAAAACUUUGAAUGUAUUCCCCUCCUCCCAAAAAAAAGACAAAAUGUGAUGAUACCGGAUAGAAUUUCAACAACAACAACAAAAACUCAGAUUGAAGAGGUCUUUCACCUUUUCUUUUUUACUCCGAGGAAGAACUCGGGAUGGCUACAGUUGAUCCCACUGCCUCUGCAAUCCUGUUCUUACAAAAACAAUAUUACUAUGAGAAAUAAAAUAGACAAUUUUCUAUUCCUUACUGGAUUUUUGGUUGUUUACAAAACACAGAUUUCUGUGGGUGCAGUUUUUUUGUGUAGGGGUGGGGUUUUGCGCGUGUGCUUCUGCAAUAUGGACGUUCAUUGGCGUACAUUGUUUUUGGCGGGAGGAGGAGGGACACCACAAUGUGACGGACAAGAUCCUUGCCCUUUGACCCUUUAGUGGGCAUGGCUCUUUGGAAUGGACUGAUCCUCAAGGAGCGCAGGAGAAAGAAUUCAACAACAAAGUUAGUUUUUGGGGGGAUUUCAUUAUUAGUGUGUCUUCCGGUUUCAUUUAGUUACUUUUUUGUUGUUGAACUGCCUAUCUUAACUAGACAAGUACUAAAAGAAGUAUAAAGCUUAAACAAAAAGCAGGGCACAGCAGAGGUGUUUUUUUGGUACUUCGACCACGAAUAAAGGAAACAACAAUAUAAUCGCUUUAAUAGGAGAGAAAAAAUGCCCUGGAGUGAAAUUGUGGAGUUUUAUUUUUUAUCCACAAAGAGACAGAUGGACAAAUCUGAGGGGUGGAUGAGAAUAAAGGAAAUUUGAAGAUUUUGUAAAACUGUACAUACAUGAUGUUGACCUCAAAUCUACCAUUGCAUUUGAUUGGACUGUGUCAGCAGCAUAUCUUACUUUUUAUCAUUAUACUUUUUUAAGGGGGCUCAGGGUGUGCAGUGGGAGUGUAUUAACCCUGCAAUGAGGGGAAAUGAAAGGGUACCAGUACUGAUCCCUGGGGGACACCCCUCGACACUCACACCCUGCCCUGACACUCACUAUGCACUUUCUAACUGUGAGGUUCCAUUACAUUUGGGACGGGAGCACAGAAAUAUUAUAGUACAAAGGGAGGGUUGGAAAAUGUAACUUUUUGAAUUUUUAGUUAGUACCGCCUCACUGAAAACGAGAUUCAAACCGAAACGAAAGACUUAGGAACACACCUUCCUCCUCCUGUACAUAACCAUAUUUUUGUAUUACCUUUUUUUAGAAAAUCACUUGGACAAAACCACAAGGCUUGAUAUAAAAACAAACAGAUGAAAGAAAUUCAAGACAGAUUGAGGAACAGAGUGAAUGUUCCUCAAGGAAACAUGUUUUAUUUUUUUUUGAAAAUACUGAGGUAAAUUAACUACCUGGAAGUUCCCUUGACUUUGCCAGUGGCCCUGUCUAUCAUCAGGAAUGGCGAAAGAAAGGACUUAACGUGGAUGGAGCUGCGGACUGUAGGGACUACCAAGACUGAUUGGUGAUCAUCGUCUGUCAUCAAAAUGGACUCCGCUGCAGAGCCCAGCCCCGGGUGUUUGAACAACAAUCGCCAACCAAUGGAGAACGCAGGGGAGACACAACACAAACGAUGGAUGUACGGGGAGACCUUCUGCCCAGAUGCCCCCCCGCCUUCUGCCACCUAGCCACUGCCUGGAGAUCAACUACAAGGUGACUGCAAGAAGAGAACCAACAUAUAGGAUUCUAACUGUUCCUAGCUGCCCUCUGUUGGAAAGGAGAUGGAGCGUACUGUAUCUUCAAACCUUUCUUUUCCUCUUCUUUCUGCCCCCUGGUGGUAAAAGUGCCAAGCAGAAACCACAGCAGCAGAGGAACUUGAACAGUGGACUACACACAAACGUAGAGCUUUACUCAUGUGUACAGUACACGCAGCUGGAUUCUGGUAAAAUAAUUGCAAGCACACAUUCUCAAAAAGACUUGCUCUUUUCUAGAACCACAUUCACACACACAACUAAUAGAGCCUGUCAUUACACCAGUGUUUCCCAAACUCGGUCCUGGAGGCCCCAAGGGGUGCACUACACAGCUGAUUCAAAUAAUCAACUAAUCAUCAAGCGCUGGUUAUUCGAAUCAGUUGUGUAGUGCUAGGGCAUAAACAAAAACGUGCACCCCUUGGGGUCCCCAGGACCGAGUUUGGGAAACACUGCAUGACACAUUCAUGCACACACACAAGCGGAAAGGCUCAAUACUACACACUUGAGUUCAAACUCCAAUGUAAAUAACGUGAAAGUAUUUUGUUUUCGUCUAAUUGUUUUUCUUUUCUCUCUGUUCAACAUGCCUUAACUGUACAGAUCUGCCUUGUAUGGCAAACUCUAAAUAUUCAAUAAACAGUAAGAGAACAUAAGGACAAUAGCAUUUGAAGGGGAGGUCUGUUCUACUUACUUGGACAGGACUGUCUUAUUGGCUAACAAUACUGUUGUAUGUUACGUUAUUUCUGUCCAGCAUCUAUCGCACGUUAGCAUGAAAGUAGAACUGUAGAAAACCCCUUACGACAAUGAUGAUGGUGGUUUGCCUUUUUUGAAAGCAAGAGUGUUUCUUUUCAGAUAUCCAGUUUUAAAUGCCUAUACAUGUAGUUGGUGUAGGGUGAGGAAUGAGAAGUCUGGAGUAUAGUGUGGAGCUGAGCUGACUUGGAAGGGUAUGUUAAAGGCCCAGUGCACCCCAAAAAAAACGACUUUAUAUAGAGUAUAUUUCCACACUGAGGUUUGAAUAAUACUGUAAAACUGUGAAAAUGUUAAUGCUCUUUUAGUUUAAGAGCUAUUUGAAAAGACUGCCUAUUUUGGUGGGAUGGAGUUUUUGCCUGCAUGGUGACAUAGACCAAUAAGAAAAAGCGUUCCAAACCUCUCUGCCAAUAACAGCUAGUUUAGUUUCCCUCCCCACUCAGACCACUCCCAGACAGUCCUUGCUAAAUUCUUGCUUGAUAAAUUGAUCUUUGCUAAGAAGCUGUUUUUGUUUCUUUUUGACCAUUUGAAAUAAAUGAAAUCACAGUAAGGUAAUUAAACUGUUUCCCAGAAAUGAUUUGAUAUUGAGAUGUCUGCAUUGGACUUUUAAAAUCUGUCCUCUCUCUCACACACACACACACACACACACACACACAGCCCCACUACAUAUGACUAUUUACCCCAUCACUAGUAAUGUUUUGACGGAAAGGAUUUUGACACAAUGAUUCACAUUAUGAGACUUGAUUUGAAAGAUGUUCAACUGUUUUAUCUUGGUGCUUUAAAAUGGAGGAUAUAUUUAUUAUUGGCGUUCUCGGAGUAGCCUGAAUUGUCCCUAAACAUUUGACUACUGACCAUUUGUAAUGACUUAUGUCCCUGUAUAUUAGAAGCGUCUACCGUAGCUAAUGGUAUUGAAUGGCUGUAUACGAGUCAAGGUUUACUCAACAGAUUGAGUGGCUGAUACUUGUUGCUAUAUGUAUUCCAUUAUACAGUUGAUAAUGGGUUUGUCUCCUACUGAAGGUGCUUGGAACAGUUCUGAAACUUGUUAGUUUGUUUUUCGUAUGGAGAAACCCAAGACUUCCCCUGUUAGUUAGGUUGAAUGGAUUAAUUCUUUUGAAAGUGUUUUCCUAUUUAGAAUCAGUUCUGGUUGGUCCGACAAACAAGUAUUAACUUCCGUUGUAGGAUAUGACUGUGGUUCAGGUUUUUCCAUAUAUGUUAGCUUUGGCUUUCUACCCAGCUAGCACAUUUGGUUCCUUGGAAGUUGUGGGAAUGUUGUGUUUUUUUGUUUCCCAUUGGUUGUGGGAAGAAGCCAUUCCUUUCCUAACUGGUAAAACAGAAGAAGAAAAAUGUACGUUCUGAGAACAGCAGUGAAAACUUUGCCUGUUCUGGGAAUGUUUAUUUUUAGGUUGCAGGGAGGUUCUUACAACGUUUUACUCUGGUUCCUUUGAAGUUCCCCUCUGAGGUUUUAUUAAAGACUGAGAACGGAAAUUCUAGGUACUUGGAUUUUUUUUUUUUAAAUAACUUCCUUAACUUUCACUGAAAGUUUCAAUAAGAAACUGAACGUUUCAAGAACACCGCUAGCUUAUUUGGGGUUAACUGUUUAAACUCCAAGCACAGAUCAGACACAUGGAAAUCGAUGCAAACAUAAAAACAUAACAAGAGUGUUUUGUGAUGCUGAGAACAGAAUGUAUGUUUUGCAAUAACGUUCUCUGAACAUUUAAAGUUUUUAUAGGACGUUUUAAACAAUGAGAACUUAACUUUAAAUAGAACCAUGAGGAAACGUUAUGCUGAAGUACUGAAAUUCCCACAGAAUUACGUUCUUUAACGUUCUCUGAACUAUGAGAACAUUCCCAAUGUCAAACCAGUUGGAGAAUGUUCUUAAAACAUUACCAAAACUUAACUUAAAUGUAACCAUGUUUGAACUUUUAGGAAACAUUCUGUUAAAAGUAAUGACAUUUGACAAAGUGCUGAGAAUGUUCCAAAGCCAAGCAACUAUCCUGCAACAUUCCCAGAAAGUUGUGGGAAGGUCAUAUGCAAAAUCAACACGACCAGACUCCCACGAAACUAAUAAACAUAUGGUUCUCAGAAAGUUAAGUUUUAGCUGGGUUGGUUUUGAAUACACUCUAUUCAGUCCGUUUGGAUCAGUUGAGGUAUUGGUUAGUGCAGAUUGGGGAAUAUCUAAAAUGUCACUGAAGUACUUUGUGAAGACAGAGAGAGCAGGGUAUUGUCAUUAUUUGAAUUCCAUCGGUCAGAUAAGGAUGCCAGUGGCAUGCUGGUUUGCAGGGAGCUGUGUUUCAAAUGUAGCCACCAAUUAUUCUAGUCUGUUGUUGAAUGACUGGUGGUUAUCAUAUGUUAGUCUGUCAAGUCUCCAGCUGUUGACAUUUCAGAUUUUCUGUUAAAUCCUUGAAGUUCAAAAGUGAUUGAUGUUUUGGCAUUGUGAUGCCCCUGGGGGAGAUGAUUAAUUUACCAAUUUAUCAAAUGAUAUUUUCCCUUGUUUCACCCAGUCAGCUCAAUUCCAUCACUUAAACUUUUUGAAUGAGUUUAGUAACAUAAAUGCAUUCAGAAAAAUGAACAUACCUAAAGAAUUGUAAAUAGUUUGUUUUUUGUUUGAAGAGAACCAAAAGUGAUUAAAUAAAAUGCAUUUGAUGGGUAU